UCGAGAAUUUUUGACAAUGGGGGAAACCCUGAUCGAGCGACGCCGCGUGGAGGAUGAAGGUCUUCGGAUUGUAAACUCCUGUCAUUGGGGAACAAGGUGCAUACGUUAACUGCGUGUGCAUUGAUAGUACCCGAAGAGGAAGAGACGGCUAACUCUGUGCCAGCAGCCGCGGUAAUACAGAGGUCUCGAGCGUUGUUCGGAUUCAUUGGGCGUAAAGGGUGCGUAGGCGGCGCGGUAAGUCGGGUGUGAAAUCUCGGGGCUCAACCCCGAAACUGCAUUCGAUACUGCGUGGCUAGAGUGCUGGAGGGGAGACUGGAAUUUACGGUGUAGCAGUGAAAUGCGUAGAUAUCGUAAGGAAGACCAGUGGCGAAGGCGAGUCUCUGGACAGCAACUGACGCUGAGGCACGAAGGCCAGGGGAGCAAA
rnacentral:rRNA from 1 species